UACGAGGGGGGCAAGCGUUGUUCGGAAUUAUUGGGCGUAAAGGGCGCGUAGGCGGUGCGGUAAGUCUUGUGUGAAAUCUCCAGGCUCAACUUGGAGUCUGCACGAGAAACUGCCGGGCUUGAGUGUGGGAGAGGUGAGUGGAAUUCCUGGUGUAGCGGUGAAAUGCGUAGAUAUCAGGAGGAACACCUGUGGCGAAAGCGGCUCACUGGACCACAACUGACGCUGAUGCACGAAAGCUAGGGGAGCAAACAGG
rnacentral:rRNA from 1 species